UUAUUGGGAUGUUGAUUUGUGUAAACUUUGUGGAUUUCAAAAGUUGAGAGAUUUUUAAAAUCUUUAAAGAUUUUUGUGGAUUCUAAUAAAUCUGUUUACACAAAUUUGUGAAAUCAUUACAAUAAUUUUAUGGGUUGUAGUAGAUUCAUGGUGAUUUUUUUCUUCAAAAAUUUAUUAGAAAAAUAUUUGAUAUGCUUGCUUUCCAAAUAUUCUAUCUUUUAAUAAGGAAUGAUUAUUUGUUUAUAAUGGUGGUUUGACGUAGAGAAAAACUCAUCUUCUCCAAUCAUUAUUUGUGACGAGCAAAGGUACAAAAACUAUUUUUUUGUUCCUUCAUCAUAGUUUUGAUACAUUUUUUUGUAUUAUAUUAUGGAAAAGCUGUUAAUGAAAUAGCUGAAAAUUUGGUUACAUCGGUUUUGAUUUUUGUUCUUUUAACGAACAUGGCUGUUUGUUUUGAUACGGUUUUUGUUUGCUAUAUAUAUGGAUGGAAUGUCUGGAUUUUUUGUGUUUGUUUUCUAUUUUGGAGUCGAUGAUUAGAUAGUGGAAACGAGAGGGGUUUUUAGAAUACAUAGGAUAACUAGAGUAUUUUGAAAGUUGUUGUUAAUGAGUAAACAUAUAAAGAAUCAUUGUUCCAAUAACAUUAGAGUUUGACAGAAUUGCAAAAUCAAUAAAUACACAACUUUUUGAAUAACAAAAGAUUUUAAAUAGAAUUACAAAAUCCAUACACCAAUAACACCAUAUUUUAAUUGAAUUGCAAAAUCACAACACCAAUAACAUGAGAGUUUACUAAGAAUAUAAGAAUCUACAAACCAAUAACAAUAGAAUCUUAAAAUUUUAAAAGUCUUUAGAAAUCAA
rnacentral:lncRNA from 1 species